UGGGGAAUAUUGGACAAUGGGCGAAAGCCUGAUCCAGCCAUGCCGCGUGAGUGAUGAAGGCCCUAGGGUUGUAAAGCUCUUUUGUGCGGGAAGAUAAUGACGGUACCGCAAGAAUAAGCCCCGGCUAACUUCGUGCCAGCAGCCGCGGUAAUACGAAGGGGGCUAGCGUUGCUCGGAAUCACUGGGCGUAAAGGGUGCGUAGGCGGGUUUCUAAGUCAGAGGUGAAAGCCUGGAGCUCAACUCCAGAACUGCCUUUGAUACUGUUAGUCUUGAGUACAGUUGAGGUAGGCGGAAUGUGUCAUGUAGCGGUGAAAUGCUUAGAUAUGACACAGAACACCGAUUGCGAAGGCAGCUUGCUAAGCUGUAACUGACGCUGAGGCACGAAAGCGUGGGGAGCAAAC
rnacentral:rRNA from 1 species